rnacentral:rRNA from 1 species
UACGUAGGGUGCGAGCGUUGUCCGGAAUUAUUGGGCGUAAAGAGCUCGUAGGCGGUUUGUCGCGUCGACUGUGAAAACCCGAGGCUUAACCUCGGGCCUGCAGUCGAUACGGGCAGACUAGAGUGUGGUAGGGGAGACUGGAAUUCCUGGUGUAGCGGUGAAAUGCGCAGAUAUCAGGAGGAACACCGAUGGCGAAGGCAGGUCUCUGGGCCACUACUGACGCUGAGAAGCGAAAGCAUGGGGAGCGAACAGG